rnacentral:rRNA from 1 species
CAGUCGCCGCGGGAAUACGUAGGGUGCAAGCGUUAAUCGGAAUUACUGGGCGUAAAGCGUGCGCAGGCGGUUUGUUAAGACAGAUGUGAAAUCCCCGGGCUCAACCUGGGAACUGCAUUUGUGACUGGCAAGCUAGAGUAUGGCAGAGGGGGGUAGAAUUCCACGUGUAGCAGUGAAAUGCGUAGUGAUGUGGAGGAAUACCGAUGGCGAAGGCAGCCCCCUGGGCCAAUACUGACGCUCAUGCACGAAAGCGUGGGGAGCAAACAGGAUUAGAUACCCGCGUAGUCCCUGUCUCUUAUAC